rnacentral:rRNA from 1 species
UACGUAGGGCGCAAGCGUUGUCCGGAAUUAUUGGGCGUAAAGAGCUCGUAGGCGGUCUGUCGCGUCUGCUGUGAAAACCUGGGGCUUAACCCCGGGACUGCAGUGGGUACGGGCAGACUAGAGUGCGGUAGGGGUGACUGGAAUUCCUGGUGUAGCGGUGAAAUGCGCAGAUAUCAGGAGGAACACCGGUGGCGAAGGCGGGUCUCUGGGCCGUAACUGACGCUGAGGAGCGAAAGCAUGGGGAGCGAACAGG